UAAGCGACUAAGCGUACACGGUGGAUGCCCUGGCAGUCAGAGGCGAUGAAGGACGUGCUAAUCUGCGAUAAGCGUCGGUGAGGUGAUAUGAACCGUUAUAACCGGCGAUUUCCGAAUGGGGAAACCCAGUGUGUUUCGACACACUAUCAUUAACUGAAUCCAUAGGUUAAUGAGGCGAACCGGGGGAACUGAAACAUCUAAGUACCCCGAGGAAAAGAAAUCAACCGAGAUUCCCCCAGUAGCGGCGAGCGAACGGGGAGGAGCCCAGAGCCUGAAUCAGUGUGUGUGUUAGUGGAAGCGUCUGGAAAGGCGCGCGAUACAGGGUGACAGCCCCGUACACAAAAAUGCACAUACUGUGAGCUCGAUGAGUAGGGCGGGACACGUGGUAUCCUGUCUGAAUAUGGGGGGACCAUCCUCCAAGGCUAAAUACUCCUGACUGACCGAUAGUGAACCAGUACCGUGAGGGAAAGGCGAAAAGAACCCCGGCGAGGGGAGUGAAAAAGAACCUGAAACCGUGUACGUACAAGCAGUGGGAGCCUCUUAAUGGGGUGACUGCGUACCUUUUGUAUAAUGGGUCAGCGACUUAUAUUCUGUAGCAAGGUUAACCGAAUAGGGGAGCCGAAGGGAAACCGAGUCUUAACUGGGCGUUAAGUUGCAGGGUAUAGACCCGAAACCCGGUGAUCUAGCCAUGGGCAGGUUGAAGGUUGGGUAACACUAACUGGAGGACCGAACCGACUAAUGUUGAAAAAUUAGCGGAUGACUUGUGGCUGGGGGUGAAAGGCCAAUCAAACCGGGAGAUAGCUGGUUCUCCCCGAAAGCUAUUUAGGUAGCGCCUCGUGAAUUCAUCUCCGGGGGUAGAGCACUGUUUCGGCAAGGGGGUCAUCCCGACUUACCAACCCGAUGCAAACUGCGAAUACCGGAGAAUGUUAUCACGGGAGACACACGGCGGGUGCUAACGUCCGUCGUGAAGAGGGAAACAACCCAGACCGCCAGCUAAGGUCCCAAAGUCAUGGUUAAGUGGGAAACGAUGUGGGAAGGCCCAGACAGCCAGGAUGUUGGCUUAGAAGCAGCCAUCAUUUAAAGAAAGCGUAAUAGCUCACUGGUCGAGUCGGCCUGCGCGGAAGAUGUAACGGGGCUAAACCAUGCACCGAAGCUGCGGCAGCGACACUAUGUGUUGUUGGGUAGGGGAGCGUUCUGUAAGCCUGUGAAGGUGGCCUGUGAGGGUUGCUGGAGGUAUCAGAAGUGCGAAUGCUGACAUAAGUAACGAUAAAGCGGGUGAAAAGCCCGCUCGCCGGAAGACCAAGGGUUCCUGUCCAACGUUAAUCGGGGCAGGGUGAGUCGACCCCUAAGGCGAGGCCGAAAGGCGUAGUCGAUGGGAAACAGGUUAAUAUUCCUGUACUUGGUGUUACUGCGAAGGGGGGACGGAGAAGGCUAUGUUGGCCGGGCGACGGUUGUCCCGGUUUAAGCGUGUAGGCUGGUUUUCCAGGCAAAUCCGGAAAACCAAGGCUGAGGCGUGAUGACGAGGCACUACGGUGCUGAAGCGACAAAUGCCCUGCUUCCAGGAAAAGCCUCUAAGCAUCAGGUAACAUCAAAUCGUACCCCAAACCGACACAGGUGGUCAGGUAGAGAAUACCAAGGCGCUUGAGAGAACUCGGGUGAAGGAACUAGGCAAAAUGGUGCCGUAACUUCGGGAGAAGGCACGCUGAUAUGUAGGUGAAGCGACUUGCUCGUGGAGCUGAAAUCAGUCGAAGAUACCAGCUGGCUGCAACUGUUUAUUAAAAACACAGCACUGUGCAAACACGAAAGUGGACGUAUACGGUGUGACGCCUGCCCGGUGCCGGAAGGUUAAUUGAUGGGGUUAGCGGCAACGCGAAGCUCUUGAUCGAAGCCCCGGUAAACGGCGGCCGUAACUAUAACGGUCCUAAGGUAGCGAAAUUCCUUGUCGGGUAAGUUCCGACCUGCACGAAUGGCGUAAUGAUGGCCAGGCUGUCUCCACCCGAGACUCAGUGAAAUUGAACUCGCUGUGAAGAUGCAGUGUACCCGCGGCAAGACGGAAAGACCCCGUGAACCUUUACUAUAGCUUGACACUGAACAUUGAGCCUUGAUGUGUAGGAUAGGUGGGAGGCUUUGAAGUGUGGACGCCAGUCUGCAUGGAGCCGACCUUGAAAUACCACCCUUUAAUGUUUGAUGUUCUAACGUUGGCCCGUAAUCCGGGUUGCGGACAGUGUCUGGUGGGUAGUUUGACUGGGGCGGUCUCCUCCUAAAGAGUAACGGAGGAGCACGAAGGUUGGCUAAUCCUGGUCGGACAUCAGGAGGUUAGUGCAAUGGCAUAAGCCAGCUUGACUGCGAGCGUGACGGCGCGAGCAGGUGCGAAAGCAGGUCAUAGUGAUCCGGUGGUUCUGAAUGGAAGGGCCAUCGCUCAACGGAUAAAAGGUACUCCGGGGAUAACAGGCUGAUACCGCCCAAGAGUUCAUAUCGACGGCGGUGUUUGGCACCUCGAUGUCGGCUCAUCACAUCCUGGGGCUGAAGUAGGUCCCAAGGGUAUGGCUGUUCGCCAUUUAAAGUGGUACGCGAGCUGGGUUUAGAACGUCGUGAGACAGUUCGGUCCCUAUCUGCCGUGGGCGCUGGAGAACUGAGGGGGGCUGCUCCUAGUACGAGAGGACCGGAGUGGACGCAUCACUGGUGUUCGGGUUGUCAUGCCAAUGGCACUGCCCGGUAGCUAAAUGCGGAAGAGAUAAGUGCUGAAAGCAUCUAAGCACGAAACUUGCCCCGAGAUGAGUUCUCCCUGAGACUUAGAGUCUCCUGAAGGAACGUUGAAGACGACGACGUUGAUAGGCCGGGUGUGUAAGCGCAGCGAUGCGUUGAGCUAACCGGUACUAAUGAACCGUGAGGCUUAACCU
rnacentral:rRNA from 1 species